UCUUUCCAGGGGUCAGUGCUGGCUGUACCAGUAACAUGGUGCACACCAAUUACAGGUCUAAAGAGGACCCCGUGUGAAGGCUCACCUUUCCACCUGCCUCCUUCCUCAGGCUUGCAGAGUCCUGUCCAGCUCUGCUCACAGGGGAACAGCUGCUGGCUGACUGUUUGCAUCCUAGAAGGAUGCUGCCAGACUGGCAGGACUCUGGAUGUCUCAACAGCAACACGUUCAACUCUCCCAGCUAUCUGUACUCAGCAUUGCUUACAAAAGCCAGCAUGAAAAUACAAAGGUGUCUAAGCUACAAAGCUUCAGAAUGGAAGAAAAUAAUUCCCAGUUAUCUAUUUUACACAAUGGAUUACAGUAACAUCUUGCAAAUUCAAUUAUUUAUAAGCCUGCAGAAAAAUAACACUUCAGAGUCCUGCAAUUAAGGAACAUACAUGUAAAAAAUAAUUGUAUGCCAUUUCCAGGAUUCAUGGCUGUUACUUUCUAGAACUGAAAAAACAAUACUACCUAUCUUAGUGCUAUUCAGAAGAUAUGCAGAGGAUCAUCUGGGGAGAAGAGAAUGUUAGAAACUGCUUAAAGGAUGGAAUAAAUAAAGUCAUACUCAAAAGCCCUCUUUCAGGAGCUGCCAAUU